rnacentral:rRNA from 1 species
ACGAACGCUGGCGGCGUGGAUAAGACAUGCAAGUCGAACGGGAGAAUUGCUAGCUUGCUAAUAAUUCUCUAGUGGCGCACGGGUGAGUAACACGUGAGUAACCUGCCUCUUAGUGGGGGAUAGCCCUGGGAAACCGGGAUUAAUACCGCAUACGAUUGAAAGAUCAAAGCAGCAAUGCGCUAGGAGAUGGGCUCGCGGCCUAUUAGUUAGUUGGUGAGGUAACGGCUCACCAAGGCGAUGACGGGUAGCCGGUCUGAGAGGAUGUCCGGCCACACUGGAACUGAGACACGGUCCAGACACCUACGGGUGGCAGCAGUCGAGAAUCAUUCACAAUGGGGGCAACCCUGAUGGUGCGACGCCGCGUGGGGGAAUGAAGGUCUUCGGAUUGUAAACCCCUGUCAUGUGGGAGCAAAUUAAAAAGAUAGUACCACAAGAGGAAGAGACGGCUAACUCUGUGCCAGCAGCCGCGGUAAUACAGAGGUCUCAAGCGUUGUUCGGAAUCACUGGGCGUAAAGCGUGCGUAGGCUGUUUCGUAAGUCGUGUGUGAAAGGCAGGGGCUCAACCCCUGGAUUGCACAUGAUACUGUGAGACUAGAGUAAUGGAGGGGGAACCGGAAUUCUCGGUGUAGCAGUGAAAUGCGUAGAUAUCGAGAGGAACACUCGUGGCGAAGGCGGGUUCCUGGACAUUAACUGACGCUGAGGCACGAAGGCCAGGGGAGCGAAAGGGAUUAGAUACCCCUGUAGUCCUGGCAGUAAACGGUGCACGCUUGGUGUGCGGGGAAUCGACCCCCUGCGUGCCGGAGCUAACGCGUUAAGCGUGCCGCCUGGGGAGUACGGUCGCAAGAUUAAAACUCAAAGAAAUUGACGGGGACCCGCACAAGCGGUGGAGUAUGUGGCUUAAUUCGAUGCAACGCGAAGAACCUUACCUGGGCUUGACAUGUAAUGAACAACAUGUGAAAGCAUGCGACUCUUCGGAGGCGUUACACAGGUGCUGCAUGGCCGUCGUCAGCUCGUGUCGUGAGAUGUUUGGUUAAGUCCAGCAACGAGCGCAACCCCUGUUGCCAGUUACCAGCACGUCAAGGUGGGGACUCUGGCGAGACUGCCCAGAUCAACUGGGAGGAAGGUGGGGACGACGUCAGGUCAGUAUGGCCCUUAUGCCCAGGGCUGCACACGUACUACAAUGCCCAGUACAGAGGGGGCCGAAGCCGCGAGGCGGAGGAAAUCCUGAAAACUGGGCCCAGUUCGGACUGUAGGCUGCAACCCGCCUACACGAAGCCGGAAUCGCUAGUAAUGGCGCAUCAGCUACGGCGCCGUGAAUACGUUCCCGGGUCUUGUACACACCGCCCGUCACAUCAUGGAAGCCGGUCGCACCCGAAGUAUCUGAAGCCAACCGCAAGGAGGCAGGGUCCUAAGGUGAGACUGGUAACUGGGAUG